GAUGAACGCUGGCGGCGUGCUUAACACAUGCAAGUCGAACGAGAAAUGGAGACGGAAACCUUCGGGCGGAAGGCUUCAUUUCGAGUGGCGGACGGGUGAGUAACGCGUGGGUAACCUGCCUCAUACAGGGGGAUAACAGUUGGAAACGACUGUUAAUACCGCAUAAGACCACAGCGCCGCAUGGUGCGGGGGUAAAAACUCCGGUGGUAUGAGAUGGACCCGCGUUCGAUUAGCCAGUUGGCGGGGUAACGGCCCACCAAAGCGACGAUCGAUAGCCGAUCUGAGAGGAUGACCGGCCACAUUGGGACUGAGACACGGCCCAAACUCCUACGGGAGGCAGCAGUGGGGAAUAUUGCACAAUGGGGGAAACCCUGAUGCAGCGACGCCGCGUGAGUGAAGAAGUACUUCGGUAUGUAAAGCUCUAUCAGCAGGGAAGAAAAUGACGGUACCUGAGUAAGAAGCCCCGGCUAACUACGUG
rnacentral:rRNA from 1 species